UUGAAACAUUUUUUCCCAUAUGGUCACCGAAGUUAAGCGACAUUGUGCCUGAUAAGUACCUUAAUGGCUGGCCACUUGGGAAUACCAGGUGCUGCAAG